CCUACGGGGGGCUGCAGUGGGGAAUAUUGGACAAUGGGCGAAAGCCUGAUCCAGCCAUGCCGCGUGUGUGAAGAAGGCCUUCGGGUUGUAAAGCACUUUCAGUGGGGAAGAAAGCCUUGGGGCUAAUACCCUCGAGGAAGGACAUCACCCACAGAAGAAGCCCCGGCUAACUCCGUGCCAGCAGCCGCGGUAAUACGGAGGGUGCGAGCGUUAAUCGGAAUUACUGGGCGUAAAGCGCGCGUAGGCGGUCUGAUAAGCCGGUUGUGAAAGCCCCGGGCUCAACCUGGGAACGGCAUCCGGAACUGUCAGGCUAGAGUGCAGGAGAGGAAGGUAGAAUUCCCGGUGUAGCGGUGAAAUGCGUAGAGAUCGGGAGGAAUACCAGUGGCGAAGGCGGCCUUCUGGACUGACACUGACGCUGAGGUGCGAAAGCGUGGGUAGCAAACAGGAUUAGAUACCCUAGUAGUC
rnacentral:rRNA from 1 species